rnacentral:rRNA from 1 species
AGGGUUUGAUCAUGGCUCAGGAUGAACGCUAGCUACAGGCUUAACACAUGCAAGUCGAGGGGAAACGACAUCGAAAGCUUGCUUUUGAUGGGCGUCGACCGGCGCACGGGUGAGUAAUGCGUAUCCAACCUUCCGCUUACUCGGGGAUAGCCUUUCGAAAGAAAGAUUAAUACCCGAUGGUAUGAUGAGAUUGCAUGAUAGCAUCAUUAAAGAUUUAUUGGUAAGCGAUGGGGAUGCGUUCCAUUAGGUAGUAGGCGGGGUAACGGCCCACCUAGCCUACGAUGGAUAGGGGUUCUGAGAGGAAGGUCCCCCACAUUGGAACUGAGACACGGUCCAA